rnacentral:rRNA from 1 species
CAGCCGCCACGGGAAUACAGAGGGUGCAAGCGUUAAUCGGAAUUACUGGGCGUAAAGCGCGCGUAGGUGGUUUGUUAAGUUGGAUGUGAAAGCCCCGGGCUCAACCUGGGAACUGCAUCCAAAACUGGCAAGCUAGAGUACGGUAGAGGGUGGUGGAAUUUACUGUGUAGCGGUGAAAUGCGUAGAUAUAGGAAGGAACACCAGUGGCGAAGGCGACCACCUGGACUGAUACUGACACUGAGGUGCGAAAGCGUGGGGAGCAAACAGGAUUAGAUACCCCAGUAGUCCCUGUCUCUUAUAC